CGCACGAGAAAGGGUAGCAAUACCUGAGUACAGUGGCGCACGGGUGAGUAACACGUGUAUAAUCUACCUUCUAGUGGGGAAUACCCCUGGGAAACCGGGGAUAAUACCGCAUAAGCUCGUGAGAGGAAAGCAGCAGUGCUCUGGAAGAGGAGUCCGCGGCUGAUUAUCUAUUUGGCGGGGUAGUGGCCCACCAGGGCAAAUAUCGGUAGCCGGCCUGAGAGGGCUCACGGCCACUCUGGCACUGAAACACGGGCCAGACUCCUACGGGAGGCAGCAGUGGGGAAUCUUGCACAAUGGAAGAAACUCUGAUGCAGCGACGCCGCGUGAGCGAUGAAGCCCUUCGGGGUGUAAAGCUCUUUCGACGGGAACGAUAAUGACGGUACCCGAAGAAGAAGCUGCGGCUAACUACGUGCCAGCACCCGCGGUAAUACGUACGCAGCGAGCGUUGUUCGGAAUUACUGGGCGUAAAGAGUGUGUACGCGGUGUUCCAAGUCUGGUGUGAAAUCUCCCGGCUCAGCUGGGAGGGUGCGCCAGAAACUGGUGAUGCUAGAGUGUGGGAGAGGUAAGCGGAUUUCCUGGUGUAGCGGUGAAAUGCGUAGAUAUCGAGAGGAACAGCUGUGGUGUAGACAGCUUACUGGACCACGACUG
rnacentral:rRNA from 1 species